rnacentral:rRNA from 1 species
GUGCCAGCCGCCGCGGUAAUACGUAGGGCGCAAGCGUUAUCCGGAAUUAUUGGGCGUAAAGAGCUCGUAGGCGGUUUGUCGCGUCUGCUGUGAAAUCCCGAGGCUCAACCUCGGGUCUGCAGUGGGUACGGGCAGACUAGAGUGCGGUAGGGGAGAUUGGAGUUCCCGGUGUAGCGGUGGAAUGCGCAGGUAUCAGGAGGAACACCGAUGGCGAAGGCAGAUCUCUGGGCCGUAACUGACGCUGAGGAGCGAAAGGGUGGGGAGCAACCAGGCUUAGAUACCCUGGUAGUCCACCCCGUAAACGUUGGGAACUAGUUGUGGGGUCCAUUCCACGGAUUCCGUGACGCAGCUAACGCAUUAAGUUCCCCGCCUGGGGAGUACGGCCGCAAGGCUAAAACUCAAAGGAAUUGACGGGGACCCGCACAAGCGGCGGAGCAUGCGGAUUAAUUCGAUGCAACGCGAAGAACCUUACCAAGGCUUGACAUAUACGAGAACGCUGCAGAAAUGUAGAACUCUUUGGACACUCGUAAACAGGUGGUGCAUGGUUGUCGUCAGCUCGUGUCGUGAGAUGUUGGGUUAAGUCCCGCAACGAGCGCAACCCUCGUUCUAUGUUGCCAGCACGUAAUGGUGGGAACUCAUGGGAUACUGCCGGGGUCAACUCGGAGGAAGGUGGGGAUGACGUCAAUCAUCAUGCCCCUUAUGUCUUGGGCUUCACGCAUGCUACAAUGGCCGGUACAAAGGGCUGCAAUACCGUAAGGUGGAGCGAAUCCCAAAAAGCCGGUCCCGGUUCGGAUUGAGGUCUGCAACUCGACCUCAUGAAGUCGGAGUCGCUAGUAAUCGCAGAUCAGCAACGCUGCGGUGAAUUCGUUCCCGGGUCUUGUACACACCGCCCGUCAAGUCAUGAAAGUCGGUAACACCUGAAGCCGGUGGCCCAACCCUUGUGGAGGGAGCCGUCGAAGGUGGGAUCGGUAAUUAGGAUAAGUCGUAACAAGGUAACC